rnacentral:lncRNA from 1 species
CGUGUGGCAGGAAAUUGCUGACCUGGCCUGACCCUCGGUCUCGGAGGGGGGGUCCGCUCCAGUACCACGAUCAUCCGUCCCUCUUUUUGGUGCCACCGGACCUUGCCUGCAGGCGAAAAAACGGAUGGACUUGGCGAUCGGGACCGAGUUGUUUAUAUACAUAUAUCUCACGCGCAACUAUAAAACCAUCUAUUAUAUUAUAUCACCGCGCCUUGUGUAAAGAAAUGUUGGUGCUUGCAUAUGUAGGGUGUGGAAAAAUUAGCUCAGCGGUCAUUGCCCUUGCGGCUGACCAUACACCUAUGCGCACUUAAAUAGACCCACCUGACCGUAUGUCACCUAUUCUCUCCUUCUCUCAGGUUAUUAAAAUUGUUCGAUGCCGACAUUCUAAAAGCCACUUAAGGGAAGAAAAGUGAAUCACAAAAAUCUAGAAAAGAAAACUUAAUGAAAAAUUAUGGAUAGAAGAAAAAAAAAUAGAAAAGAAAAUUGUUCAAUAAUAUUAAAUAUUCCUCUAGACAUUAACUUAGAAUAGAAGAAGAAAAACAUGAAAUUUAUGCGUAGUUAAUAAUAGAUUCUAAAGGGUGCAUUAUCGGUCUCAUUGUGUCCAUGGAAGGGUAUUGGUAAAAUACCUCUUCAUAACGCUUCUUGUUAUUUUGCAUAUUUCUACAUUUCUUUAACAGUUAGAACGUGAAAUUGGGCCCAACGACACCAACAGCUGUUUAAAAGUCUGUAAGUAGACACACAUAUACACACAUACACUCCGGGUCAGGAGAAUAGCGUCUACACAGUGAGACAUGCAUGCUUAACCAUAUAUAAAAUGAAUUAUUAUUAACUCUAAUCACUACAAUUAUGCCAUUUAAUUCAUUUAAUUAAUUAAUUCUUACUUUAUAUUUUGAUUAUAUUAUUUUUAUUCAUAUUUGAUCGUUCUCUUGAAUUCCUAUGUAUUAAAUUAGUCCCACAUACAUAAUACACAUGCAGUAAAAAUAGUUUUAAGGGUUAGGGUAGAAAUAAUGGGGGUUACAAACAACCUGAAGUCAUACAAGUCAAAGUAAAAUUAUAACGAUUUAACAUGAAUUUCUAAUCUGAUUUUUGGGAGGGGUUCCUAAGGCACAUAGGCAGCAGCGGCAGGUUUUGGGUAGAACCAUAAUGGCAUAUUCUUAUGUUAUUCUACAUGGAGGGUGGGUCAAGAGGGAAGAGCACAUCCACCUUGCUCUUCACAGUAGGUAGUGGACCUUAAGUUCCGUCCGGGUUUGUAAUUCCGAUCCCAGUUCCCGUAAAUCUGUCUACGAUUUUGUUAGGUGACGGAGUUCGUUUUCGCAGCACACCACCCACCCCAUUUUCCCUGAGCCUAGCCGGCAAACUUUUAGUAGACAGAGAGUGCUGACGAGACGACACUUCCCGUGUCCGUUACAAAGUCAACAUGAUUUCGUCGGGGGGGACUUCUCGCUUGACCAAAUUAACUCUGUCAGAAACAAUAGAGAUAGACUCUUAGAUCUCACCUUUGUCAGCGAUGCUUCUCUUGCAACGGUUGUAAGAGGCAAUCCGAUAUCUUUUCCUGAAGAUCCGCAACAUUCCACUUUAUCUGUAUUUGUCGAGUUAUCUAGUACUAACACCAUUUUACCUUCAAUGGUCGUAAAAAGUCGUAGCAAAACUAAUUUGAUACAGCUCUCGCAAGUUGACUGGUCCUUUCUUCAGUCCUCAGCAAAUACAAAGCCUACUGUCAAUUAGUUUAACGAAACAUUAUACUCUGGCCUCGAUACCUAUGUCCCUGAAGUCACCUGAAGUCAAGUAUAUGUUUUCUCUAAGCCCCCGUGUUUCCAAGUAUCUGUUUUACCUAAAAAACAAGAAGGAACGUGUGAGACGCUUCUUACGCGUCACAAAUUUAAUACCCGGUACUCAGAACUACGUCUGUACCUUAGUGCUUUUUUGUCAAACUUUACAUUUUACCUUUAUCGGUCAUCUACAUCUACAACACUUCUUACGCCAACACGCUCCUUUAGCUCGCUCCCCUUCCCUAGACCCACACACUGCAAACUCACGGCAGAGGCAGACGCAGCUGCGGGACGGGAUGAGUCAAAAAUCGGCAGAGCAGAGGCAGAGGGACGGCAGAGGCAUAGACCUCAUAAUGCAGAAGCAGAGUGUGAAUAAGAGAAUGUGAAGAAAACAAAUAUAAGCUGCGGGACGGGAUGGGUUUAGCCACUGCAAAUUAAUUUCUUCAUUAUGGCUAUAAAAUUGAUACAAUCUGAUCCCAAUUUGGUGAUCUGAUAGAUAGGGUCCUUCCCUACGAAAUGGCGUUUUCAGUUUUCUUGUAUCUUCAAAAUUGUAGCUUUGGGAGGGUUUCCCCCUUUUGCGGGGCCUAAGUGUGAGCAUACAGAAGUCUGUAUGCAACAUUUGGUGGCUCUAGCUUUUAUAGUCUCUGAGAGACCGCAUAGUCUCAACAAGACGGACGGACGGACAGACGGACGGACAGGCAGACAUGGCUAUAUCGACUCGGCUAUCGAUGCUGAUCAAGAAUAUAUAUACUUUGUGGGUUCGGAAACGUUUCCUUCUGUGCGUUACAUACAAC